UACGUAGGGGGCGAGCGUUGUCCGGAUUUAUUGGGCGUAAAGAGCUCGUAGGCGGUUUGGUAAGUCGGGUGUGAAAUCUCCACGCUCAACGGUGGAGGGGCCACUCGAUACUGCCAUGACUCGAGUCCGGUAGAGGAGUGUGGAAUUCCCGGUGUAGCGGUGAAAUGCGCAGAUAUCAGGAGGAACACCAAUGCGAAGGCAGCACUCUGGGACGUGACUGACGCUGAGACGCGAAAAGCCGUGGGGGAGCAAACAGGG
rnacentral:rRNA from 1 species